rnacentral:rRNA from 1 species
AUUGAACGCUAGCGGGAUGCUUUACACAUGCAAGUCGGACGAGAGGCGGACGGGUGAGUAAUGUAUGGGGACUGCACGAUAUAGGGGGAUAACUACUGGAAACGGUAGCUAAUACCGCAUACUAUCAGAUAAACCAAAUGGGAUUAGCUAGGAGGUGAGGUAAUGGCUCACCUAGGCGACGAUCCCUAGCUGGUCUGAGAGGGUGAUCAGCCACACUGGGACUGCGACACGGCCCAGACUCCUACGGAGGCAGCAGUGGGGAAUAUUGCACAAUGGGCGCAAGCCUGAUGCAGCCAUGCCGCGUGUAUGAAGAAGGCCCUAGGGUUGUAAAGUACUUUCAGUCGGGAGGCGUUACCGACAGAAGAAGCACCGGCUAACUCCGUGCCAGCAGCCGCGGUAAUAC